CGGCGAGUGAAGAGGGAAGAGCCCAAGAUUGAAAGCUGGCGUCUUCGGCGUCCGCAUUGUAAUCUCAAGAAGUGUUUUCCGCUUCGGACCAUGCCUAAGUCCCUUGGAAAAGGGCAUCAUAGAGGGUGAGAAUCCCGUACAUGGCAUGGAGCGCCCGAGGCUUUGUGAUACACUUUCUACGAGUCGAGUUGUUUGGGAAUGCAGCUCAAAAUGGGUGGUAAAUGCCAUCUAAGGCUAAAUAUUGGGGAGAGACCGAUAGCGAACAAGUACAGUGAUGGAAAGAUGAAAAGAACUUUGAAAAGAGAGUUAAACAGUACGUGAAAUUGCCAAAAGGGAAGGGUAGGAGGUCAGAGAUGCGUCUUGGGAUUCAGCCUUGCAUUUUUUGUUUGGUGUUUUUCCCAAGUUUGCAGGCCAACGUCGGUUUUGGGCACUGGAGAAGGGUGGAAGGAACGUGGCACCUCUCGGGGUGUGUUAUAGCCUUCUACUGGAUACAGCGACCGAGACCGAGGACAGCAGCGUACUCGCAAGAGCGGGCCUUUGGGCACCUUUACGCUUAGGGCGUUGGCAUAAUGGCCCUCUACACCCGUCUUGAAA
rnacentral:rRNA from 1 species